rnacentral:lncRNA from 1 species
GGCAGCUUUCACCAAUGUUUAUAAAGAAGACAAAAUCUAUUUACAUUUUUCCAAAUUCUUUAUGAUCUUUCUCAAUUACACAUACAUUCAUCUCCAUUUAUUAGAGAAGAGUGGUUUAUAUUAGAUAGAAAUAGACCGAUGGAGAGAAGAAAGACGGAGAAAUCAGUGCACCACUCUACAACAGAUGGGAUUUGCUGAGAUAUCUUUAUCAUUGAGUAGAAGAUAUUAUUUAAGUCGUUAUGCUCAACUUGAAUGGAAGAGAUUUACAAAUUUUCUUAUGCUGGGGUAACUGUUUUUCCAAAGACUAAAUAUUUUAGUAAAUCAGAGUUUUGUUGCCUGCACAUCUAUUAAUUUGUUCCUGGUGUACUGUGUUGUGUGUGUGUAUAGUGAGAAGGGGAAAUGAAGACAGAGGAGGGAAGCUGCUCCUCCACUCUGCCUCAAGCUCGUGCAGAACUAUUUCCUCCAUGGACCCAGCUCCCAUCCAGGCUCUUUCCCGUGGCCCUGUGGCUUGUCUCUGACAACAGCAACUUGUUCUCAUGUCUCCUCAGUCGUAGGAAAGUGAAUAAGCAGAAUUUCUAUUGA